rnacentral:tRNA from 1 species
GCUCCUGUAGCUCAGUGGACGAGAGCGGCUGGCUUCGAACCAGCAGGUCGCGGGUUCAACUCCUGCCGGGAGCGCCA